UUUGAUGAUGUUCUGAGAGAGCUGAGAGAUUCAGAUUACUUUGUAACAUGCAACCAUCAUUACAGGUUGCGAAGAUCCUCCUUCACAUUCAUUAUACAGUAGUAGCUUUCACUGUACUGGGGCUGCUGAUUCCUUCACUUGCUUUUCCAAUAAUGCCAUCGAAAUAUCCAAUCCGAUGGCUCAGUUACAUCAUUCCGUGCAGGGUUAUUUGCGCGAUUAAAAUUUUGUUACUCAGAUUUUGCAGGCUAAUAUAUCUUUCUAAAGAUUUUGUAGCCAAACCAAAAUCCAAUAGUACAGCUACAGCCCACUUUGUUUAGUUCUUU
rnacentral:lncRNA from 1 species